rnacentral:rRNA from 1 species
UGUCUAUUAAUUGUAGACCAGCAUGAAAGGCAACAUGAGGGCCUAACUGUCUCUUAUAAUAAAUCAAUAAAACUGAUCUCCUAGUAAAAAAGCUAGAAUUUUACCAUAAGACCAGAAGACCCUGUGAAGCUUAAACUAAACUAUUAAAACAUAUAAUAACUACUUUCGGUUGGGGCGACCUUGGAAAAAAAAAGAACUUCCAAUACAUCAACAUACCAAACCAAACUAGGCCUACAAGCCACAUACUAUGACCCAGCAUAGCUGAUCAUUGAACCAAGUUACUCCAGGGAUAACAGCGCCAUCUUCUUCAAGAGCCCAUAUCAAAAAGAAGGUUUACGACCUCGAUGUUGGAUCAGGACAUCCCAA